rnacentral:tRNA from 1 species
GAGGGCACAGCUCAGUGGUAGAGUGCAUGCCUAGCAUGCAUGAGGUCCUGGGUUCAAUCUCCAGGACCUCC